rnacentral:lncRNA from 1 species
UUUUCCUUACAGUAAGCCAUUUCUAACAUAGGUUUAAAUACCAAAUUUCCAUAAUAAGUCUUUAAAAAACAGAAUAUAAAGCGGGAGUCAAAUAAACAUGAAGUACACAACCCAAAUAUCUGGUGUCAUGAGUCUAGAGCCUCUACUACAUAACUGACUGUCUGAUACAACGUAAGUCUAGAAAAUGUGGAAAAGAACAAGAUAAGAAGGAGAAAGCAGGGUUGCGGAUGCCAUGCAGCUACCUUGAAAUCUCCGGUGACCUUUGGAUCAGCCGAGGACCCUCACUCUACCACUCGGGCACCUGGAUCUGCACACAAGGUGUAGGGAGUAACAUGAGUAUGCCAACUCAGUAAGUAACUAAAGUAAAUAAGGUCUGAAAGCAGUGACGAGCAGCUAAAAAUCAUAUAACUGAAUAAACAACAAGAUAACGGGUCAACUUCACAGUUUAAAACCAGUUUCGUCGUAAAAUCAUCAAUUUCAGUUUAAAACACUUGAAAUCAUAUACUUAGCAAUUUUUCCAACAAAGGCUAUUUCAAAGAAGAGUUACCACUGAAAAUAUCAUAACUUGGCCCCGCGGGCAAGGUAUCACUCAGAACAUGGCCUCUCGGGCAGCCUCUCAGUCACUCAGUACUCACUCUCAGCACUCAGGCUCAUUAAUAUCUCAUAAUAAUAGAAAUCAUAGUAACCGAUGCGGCGUGCAGCCCGAUCUGUAAUUUAUAGUCGAUUACGCUCACUGGGGGUGUACAGACUUUGGAGGGGCUCCUACAGCCCAAGAGUCAUAUCGCUGCGGCGAGCAGCCCGAUCCAAUAUAUAUAUAUCGCUGCAGCAUGCAGCCCGAUCCAAUAUAUAUAUAUCUACGACGUGUAGCCCGAUCUAUAUAAGUAUCGAUGCGGCGUGUAGCCCGAUCUAUAAUAUAUACCUAUAAUAUCCUCACUAUUAGGUUCUCAACCUCUCUCAGUCAUUAACCUCACAGCCUCUCGGGCACAACAAUAGAAAUUAGGGAACUCAGCCCAAACAGUCCUCACAAUUAGAAGUGAAGUGAUAAAACCAGUUUUAAACAUUUAAACAGGUAACACAUGACUGAGGUUAUGCUUUCAACAAGUAAAGUGAGGAAAAAAAGUAAAAAUAUCCUUAUGGGUCUCAACAGGUCGGUACAAGGCCCCAUAGAUGGCGUACAACCCAUAAUACAAUAUAAAUGACUAAAGUACGGAAUAAUAUAAGAUUCCAAAUAAAAUACGCAACUUAAUGGUCGCUACGAGACGGACCAAGUCACAAUCCUUACCGGUGCACGCCCACACGCUCGUCACCUAGCAUGUGCGUCACCGUAUUUAUCAAAACAAGUCAAAUACCGGGGUUUGUACCCUCAGUUCCAGAUUUACAAUGGUUUCUUACCUCAAACCGGUGAAAAUACUACUCCGCGACGCCUUUGCCCCUCGAAUCGGCCUCCACUCGCGUCGAAUCUAUCCAAAAUCAGAAUCACUGUCACACCUCCCUUUUUACUACACCCCCGAAAGGGAGUAUAAUAAGGGAGUUUUUCCAAUUAAAGGACAAUCGAAACGGGAUUAUUUUUAUUUAAAAUUCAGAGUUGCCACUUGGGAUAAUUUAUGGUGUCCCAAGUCACCGGUUCAAAUCCCAAAUCAAGGAAAAGAUUGACUCUGUAUUAUAGUCCGCGAACCAGAAAUCCGGGUAAGGAAUUCUGUUAACUCAGAAGAAGGUGUUAGGCAUUCCCGAGUUCCGUGGUUCUAGCACGGCCGCUCAACUGUUAUAAUUGGUCUAUUAUCUGAUUUUAACACAUGUUUUAGCCUAUGGUACAAUUUUAACUUUAUAACCGCUUUUAUCUAAAUAUUUUUAGGAAGAUUCAACGCCAUCUAAAACACAUCUUGGACCACGUCACAUAAAUGCACCCGCAGUCCACGACACAUUUUAUCCAAUGUUGUUGAGAUUUGGAUUUGGGUCACAUAAAUGCGCACCCGAGUUUAGGAAGUUAUAUUAUUAACUAGCUCGCCUAAAGCAAGCUACGCAUUUGAACUAUUUUCCUAAUCUUUGAGAUUGUUAUAAGGCCAAAUUUAUGAACAAGAUAUUAUUGGGGCCAAAGGCUAGCUAACAUGAUCUAUUACUUGGCCUAGACUCUUUAUAGUUCAAGACACAGCUUAUGACCCAUUCUUAUUCCUUUCCAAGAAAGAAACAACUCCAAUUUUUCUAUCUACUCAAUUAAAAGCAACUAUUCAAGAACCAAGACUGCAUACAUCACAAUCGAAAUAAAACUAAUUAAAACAAUUUGAAUGAAAACUAAGACAUAGUACUCAAACAACGUAGAAUCACAAAUCAACUAACACGCGCACCAAGCUAUCAUAACACAAUAAAAUGAGAAUGAAAAUUGAGAGAUUGACCUUUUAUUGAUGAACCAAGAUGAAAAUUGCAAACCAAUCAGGCUAAACAAGCAACAAUCUUUGGACCGAAACCCCGAAAUUACAAACCGAAACCUCGAAUCGACAUCGGAAAUCUCGAAACCCAAAUCGACCUCAGUUAGACGAUAAACUAAAACCUCCAAAUAUCUGACCACGGACCCUGCUCGACAUUUGUGCUCUUAACAUCGGCCAAACAUGUCGGUAGCCCGAUUCAUUAGGCUUCGCCAAGAAAUUGACAACAUCAGUAAGGUAAUUAGUAAGGUAAUUGCAAUUCUCCAAUAACAAUCUCCACCGUGAUUUCUCUUUCUUCCUACGGUUACACCCACAUAAUAUGACAAUGUUUGUGUAUUUUUACCAAAAAAAAGAGCCAAUUUAAGGUUUUGUAACUUUUCUUCAAUGGGAUUGAAUGGUAUAAAGUACCCCACUAGGGAAUAAAUAUCAGAAAAGAGCCCUAGGCAAAAGGCGCAAAUUUGUCAAUGUCCAGUAUUGUCUCGUCCUUUUCAAUUCUAAUAGUAGUAACUAAUUUGGCACAAUCAUGAAAUUGAAGGUGUUUGCUUCAGACCUUUUCCCUUCAGAAAAUAUAUUUGGAUUCCAUCACUAUAUUUUUGCUCCCUAUAGGAAAAGGAUGUUGAUUUGGAACUUUCAAGCCAUAAAAUCGUGUAUGGCUACCGUGAACUUAGGGAGUAGGCUCUCUUUUCUUAGUUAGGU